rnacentral:lncRNA from 1 species
CCCGAUGUUUUCCUCCGGCUCCUAUUUUACCCAGUGAGUAAAUACUUGCUCUUCAGCCAAGUAACUUGCCAAGGACUAUACUUCUGUGAAAAACUCUGUUUCCUAGUUUUUUCUUUUGUUUCCUAGUUUGUUCCUUUGUUGUUUCCUGUUAAACUCUGUUGUGUUAUGCUAACAGGUUGACAAGGAUGAGGAUACUUACCAGAAUGAGAGGAGGUAUGAAGAGUUUUGUGAAGCUAGAAUGAAGCUUCCACUUGGAUAUGAGUUGUGCACUGUAUGUUUUUAAUUUGAAGAGCCCUGGAGACAUGGAAAUGCAGUAGUACGUUCUGGGAAUGUAAGUUAAUCAGUAAUGAAUUAAUAGUAGCUUAUUUCAUCUUCUUGAGCAUAACUGAGUUUUGACCUGCAGAUGCUCUCUCAUUUCAAUUGCCACAACACUCCAGGUGUCAAAUGUGGUGAAGAAUUAUGUACGGUUAGGUUCCGCAGCUGUGAACAUCAGCAGUUAUACAGAUCCUAUUGCACAAGUAUUUGGGAGGUAAGGUGACUCCUUCUCAUGUGCAUGCUGAAAGAAAUGAUGUGAUAGUUGAUACUAACUUUUGUUAUUGUUAAUGUAGACCAAGCCAAAGUUGCGGUAUGACAGGUUUUGUCGAGGUAGGGUGUAGUAACAAUCUGUUUGGAAGAUUCGCAGCAGCUAAAGGUGUCUGCAAGUAUGGCCUGAGAUUGAAGAACCACAUGGUGUGCUAAUAAAAGCUACAAAGAGAUGAACUAUUGUAUGCUUUUGUUGGAUGAUGGGUUGACAUGUCGUGUGAGAGUGAUGUCAAAUGACAAACUGUGAGCCUAGUGCGAUCAUGUUGUUGAGAAAAUGGUUUUCUUGGAUGAUGUUCUGCAGCUACUGUGGAAGUUAUAUUUACUUUGAUCGUUCAGAAUAUGUUUGCUGGAAU